rnacentral:rRNA from 1 species
AUGUGUGUGACUGUGUUGGCGCGUUUCCCAAGUAGCACGGAACUCCAGAAAAUUCUGUGUGAAUCUGGCGGGACCACCCGUUAAGCCUAAAUACUCCUUGAUGACCGAUAGCGGACAAGUACCGUGAGGGAAAGGUGAAAAGUACCCCUGGCGGGGAGUGAAAUAGUACCUGAAACCGUGUGCCUACAAUCCGUCAGAGCCUGUGAGGGUGAUGGCGUGCCUUUUGAAGAAUGAGCCUGCGAGUUUGCGGUGUGUGGCAAGGUUAACCCGUGUGGGGUAGCCGUAGCGAAAAGCGAGUCCUAAUAGGGCGGUUUAGUCGCGCGCUCAAGACCCGAAGCGGAGUGAUCUAUCCAUGGGCAGGUUGAAGCGUCGGUAAGACGACGUGGAGGACCGAACCCACCUAGGUUGAAAACUGGGGGGAUGACCUGUGGAUAGGGGGUGAAAAGGCCAAUCAAACUCCGUGAUAGCUGGUUCUCCCCGAAAAUGCAUUUAGGUGCAGCGUUGCGUGUUUCUUGCCGGAGGUAGAGCACUGGAUAGCCGAU